AUGUAUACAUAUUUCGUGAUAUCCAUAUUCUUUUCAGUAUCAUUUGUUCAUUGCUGCAGUGAUGGAUUCGUUCAGUACCACGAUAAAUGCUAUUUUUUCAGUCACACAACAUCUACCUGGGCCGAAGCAGGGGCUACCUGCCAACAGUUUCAUACAAAGUUAGCUGAACCAAGGACAGACGGAGAAUCUCAGUUUCUAAUCAGUCACAGUCAAAG